AAUCUUAUUGGCUUAAAACAACCACCUCUAUUCUCAGUGUAUCGAGAGCCUGGGCUUGGCUUUAGCUGGGUCCCCUGGCUCAGCAUCUCUCAUAUGUCAUCAAUCAAGGUAGCCUCGGAGGCUGCAGUCACUGCAACGCUCGACUGGGGAGGUUCUGCCUCUAAUCUCUCUCAGGCUGCUGGCAUGAUUCAGUUCCUCCCAGGCUGCUGCACUGAGGGCCUCAGCUCCUGAAUGGCUGUUGGCCAGAAGCCACCCUCAUUUCCUUGUCAUAUUGGCAUCUCUACAGGGCAACUCACAAAUGGCAACAUGCUUCCUCAAAGCAAGAAGUGAGAGGAGCCAGAGGGAGAAACUGAGUAAGAAUGGAAGUCACUGUUUUUUUACAGCCUAAUCUUGGAUAUAACUGACAGCCCAUCCCUUUUGCUCUGUCCUAUUCUUUAGCAGCAAGUCGCUGGGUCCACCCAACAUACAGAGGAGAAGAUUACACAAGGGUGUUAUACCAGGACAUGGGGAUCACUGGUGAGCCAUGCCGGAAACCUGCCUUCCCUACACAGGGCGCUACAUGCAACCUGGGGGAAGAGCAUUCCAGAUGUCGGGAACAGCAAAUGCAAAGGCCAUGGUGUGUUUGAAGAACAGAGAGAAGGCUGGAGAGGAGUAAGACUAAGAGGAGGUGGCGCUUGAAAAGCAGGCAGCGGCCAGAUCCCAGGUCAUAGGGAACUUUUCAGGUCUCCGCAGUUUGGAUUUAAUUAUGAGUAUAAAGAAAAUCCUCUGGAUGGGUUGGAGCAAAAGAGGUUAUUAAACUACCCUUUCUUUUAUGAAAUCACAGUGAUGGUAAAUGCUAUAGUCUAUUUGUGUAUUUAUUAGUAUUAUUUGUAAUGACCUUUCUAUGGGGAAGCUGGCAAUUCCAUGUCAGUUUUCCCUAUAUUUAAAAAAUUAUUUUAUUUUGCUGGUUCUCAACACCUCAAAUCUGACAAUCUAAGAAUCUAUAAAGAAAUGAUUUGAAAUCAUAGAUUUUUUUUUUUUUUUUUUUAGGAUUUGAGCUCCUCUAUGUUGUUUAGGGAGGAAGGAUCAGUGGAUGUUAUUAUGAUUAUGAUUAUUAUUCAUUGCAAUCAAGUGGGCUUGCCUCACUUCAAUCUCAGGCAAGAGUCAGGGGAAAUAAGGGGUUGGGACGGGGAGCACACGUGGACAUGACCCUGACCGUGUGUGCGUGGUCACUGGGGAGGAUCUCCGGAAGCCCAUGGAUAUUUAGGGAGUGGAAGGGAGGCAGUCUACUUCCCGCUGAAGAACAAACACUUAAAUUGCCAACUCCUUCUCCCCAGGUAUCUGGGUCAGUUAAUCCCAGCACACAGCUGCCAGCUGAACUCGUCCUGGGCCAAGCCGCUCUGCUUUGAAAUCCUCCCCCAGGCGACCUCGCGCAAUGACGUCAGACGGGGUGAGGGCCCCGCCAGCCCUGCCCUCUCGCGAGAUGAUGUGCAAGGGGAAAUGCGCUCUGUCUGUGCUCAGGAAACAUCUGCUUGAUCCGCUGGUCCUCGAGCGGGUCACUGGCUGUUUGAUAAGUUGGUGGAACAGAAUGGGAUGGGAAGACAGGGCACUUGGGCGGUUACUCCACCUCCCCACCAAGUUACGAACUGAAACGAGAGGCGAGGAAACGGCCUCCCUCGCAGGCCUCCCACAUCCAUGGCCGCCGCACAGUCACACUUCCUAGCUUGUAAUGGGAAAACGAGCGCUGUUUACAGGAGCUUAAAGUGGCCCAGAUGGAAACAUGAGCCAAGCUGUGUCGUGGAGGGCAGACUCCUACCUGGACGCUUUCAGCAGUCCGGUAAUUAUUCAAUACCAGGCCUGAAAUAUAGGCUCCUAAUGAAGAAUAUCAUUCACUGGCCCUUGGAAAGCGAAACGCCGCAUUCAUCGUCUCCAGCCUGCCAACUUCAGGACUAGAACUACACUGUGGGGGCUCUCCUGGGUCUCCAGCAUGACAGCUGACAUUGUGGGACUUCUUAGCCUUCAUAAGCAUAACAACCUCCACAUCUAUGGCACAAUUCGAGGGAAAACAAUGAAAUCCUAUGAAACAUCAGGAGUCACUACUUACUGAGCCCUCAUCACGUAACAUCAUGAGCUUUACAUACGGCAUCAAUUCUGAUCCUCCCAAAGACCCUGUGAGUUCGGUAUAAGUAUCCCCCACCUUACGGACGACAAAAGGGAGGCUCAGAGAGGUAAGGAAACUCACCCGAAACCCCACAGCCUGACUGCAGUCCUGAAACCUAAAUAUGAACUCAGACCCGGCUCUGAAACCUACAUAGAAUUUCAUAGCUAGAUGGCGCUCACAUGUUGCAUGCGUUGAAUGUACUUUCAUGUGAUGGAAGUUUGGGUUUCACGCUAGAGGGAGUUAAAAGCCUAAAACAAUCAAAGAGUUCACUAAGUCCAACAAAAUUACACCUACUGUAUCACAGCAACCACCUCAGCCCUGCCCACCUCAAUGUCUCGAAUGACCCGUCCCUCCCACCAGGCGGUCUCUUGCCUCCUGCUCUUACAUGCUGAGCAGCGGAUGUAUUAAAUGUUUCAGGGAAGAGAUGAUGCUGCUUUGGCUCUGUCUUUCCUCUCUCCAAGCCUUUUAAUUUGUGCUCGCAGCAAAUACUGUCCCACUCUCUCCCCCAGCUUACUCAGCUCAUGUGACAGUCGUCGCCUGACACUCCACUGAUGGAAAAUGACCCUGACAGACGGAUUACAAUCCAGCAGAGUGCCUUGGAAGGGCUGGCAGUUCCAGAGUGCCACACGGCCUGUGACUGGAGAACCGCAAGUUCACUGAGGCCCAGAGAAGUGCAGGGCCUUUCCCAAGGUCACACAGCAACCCGGGGAAUGUGUUCAGACUCCAAAUCUGCUGGCUUGGCAGGGAUGUUCAGAAUUCAGCUCACAUUCACAGCAUGCUGGGUGGCAGGGGCAGGUUUGGGACUCCCGGUCCAGCUGUCUCCAGAGACUGCGAUCUUGACCAGGGCAUCAGCCCACCUCUCUGACCCCACCGUGACACGGCUGAAAAGAAAAGAACAGAAAGUUCUCCAGGAAGAGAAAAAUAGAAUGACCAUGACUUGCGUGAAUACAGAAGAAUGAACUAUUGUGGCACCUUCCUUUAAACAGUCCCUUCGUGGCAGAACUGAGAAAUGCCAGAACUCCAGAGGAACCAAAUGCUUGGUAGAGGUAGCCAUGUGACUUCUCCCUGUCUUGAAUAUGGACAUGAUGUUUGGAGCUAUACAACUAUUCUGUGACCGAGAGGCAACAAACAUGAGAAGGCAGAGUAGAAAGACUCAAAGAAUUCCUGGCAUCAUUAAUCAGCUAUACCAAUGACAGCAACUGUAGACCUCUGAACUAUUUGUUAGGCCCCGGAACUCUGGCCCACCCUAAGACUGAGCCAGCAGAUAGCCCCUCCUGGAAACAGGCUGGCCUCAGGAUAAAAUAUUCUCUAAUCUACUAUCCAAUCAUCCCACCCUUCCAUCCCACUUCCCUACAUAUGGUUCUUUCUAAUGUUCUUUAUAAAAGAAAAACUCUUUUGCCUAACUCUCAAGAUGCUUGCAGAUCUCAUGGGCAAAGACUUUUCCUAUUGCAAUAUUUCCUUCCCCCACUUCCUGAAAUAAUCCUUCUGAAUAAAAGUCUCUUCAUAACUAAGUCCAGAUUUAUUCUUUUUAUUAUUUGACAUUACCCUAAAGUAAAAAAGUAGACUGACAGAAUAGUGCUGACAAGACUUAUGAAUAUAAGAAAUAUAAUUAUGUAUAAAUUCAUUAAAACAGUACAGAAGUACAGAAAUGUUGCUAAAAUGCAUUGCCAAGAAAUAAGAGAUAAUGGACACUUUAAUGGAUUAAUUAAUUAAUUAAUUGGGGUACAACAUUCGAUUUUGCACAGAAACAUAUAAAAUUCCACAUGCCAUUUUAUAAAAAGUACUGCCUCCUUCCACUAAAUAACUCUGAAAAAAAAUAGAUAUAAACUCACUAGGAAACUUGACCCUGAGAAGAAAUCAGGCACAGGCUUCUACUUGAUCUUGCAGCUUGGACUAUGUUUCCCUUGGUGGUUUGUUAGCAGUUACUGCAACAGUGAUGUAUUUGUAACUGAAGGAGAUUUCCAAUCACUCUGACCUGCUAUAAAUUCUUUCAGUAACACUAGGAAUUGUCUUUCGAAGCACAGUCCGAUUUCCAAACAGCUUUGUAUUCAUCAUCUUGUGUAAUAGUUAACACAGCCCUGUGAUGUACGUAGGGAGUUGGUGUUAUCUCCACCUUUAAAUGAGGAAGUGAACCCCAGAGAGGCUAACUUACUCGCUGGAGUCCCUAAGGGACAGACAGAAAGAGAUUCCCCAUAACUUCUCCUUAUUUAGCUCCCCUUCUCUGCAUGGUUUCUCCAAAUCAUUGUUCCAAACCACAAGCUAAUGGUCAAAGCAAAGACCCAUCACAUAGGAUCUCAGAGCAGGAAGGGGCUUUAGAUCACUUGUGCAAAAGAUGUCAGUGACUUGCCAAGAGUCAGCACAUGAUGCUGUUGGUGGAAAAGCCUGGAUGGGAACCAGUUCCUUCUCUCAGCCCAGUGCUCCUGCUGCAGACCACCCAGGAUGGACCUCCCACGUGGACCCUCCCCUUCAUCCCUAAGCCUGGUGUGUUUGCCCACAAGGCCUCCAAAGUAUUUUUCAGAUGCAGCUUCUAAAGGGUUCAGACAAAAAUCAGGGGAAAGGCAGGGAUAGAGGAAAGACGACUAUUGUCACUUUCAACAGACUAGGCACUGUGCCGAGUUUUCCCAGAUAUAAUUCCAAAGAGCUGUCUCAUAAACCAGAAAAGGUAGCCAGAAAAGACAGCAUGGUGGUUACAGUAUAGACUUACAGUCACAGUCUGGGAGGGGUUAAGCUCUUCCAUUUGCUAACCUGCAAAUGGGGUCUAAUAAGAGUCUCUCUUUUAUGCAACGAUUAUGAGGAUUAGAUAACCUAUCUGCAGUUCUAUUAUGUGGUGCACAUAAUAAGUACUUAGUAAAUAUUAGUUAUUGUUUUCAUUAAUAAGGUAGAUACGAUGAUCUCCUUUUUCCAGAUUAAAGAACUGAGGAUUCAGAAUUAUAAAUAAUGUGCAUUUUUAGGAAAACCAGCACCUAUGAAGUACUUGCUCUAAACCAGGCACUGCACUUAUGAUGAAUACUUGCAAUAACCCUGUGAAGGAAGCAUCAUUAGUUCCACAUUACAAAUGGAGAGAUAGAGGCUGGGGGAAAAGGGAGACGUGGACAAAUGACUAGGAAAUUUCCUACUGACAUCACUAAUUUUUGAGAUGUUGUUAUUCUGGCUAACUUGUCUAAAUGUCAAGCUGUUGUAUUUCUUAGCAAUGGCGAUUCAAACGCAUUAAAAAAAAAAAAAGCUGUGCAAUUUAUUUUCAAUAGUAUUCACAAGGCUAAAGUACUUUGAGAAAUAUUAUCAUGGACAAUAUACUUCUUUGUCCAAAGCAGAAUAAGUUCUGAAAGAGCUGAUGUGCAUUUACAAAUGAGAAAUGU